AGAGAGAGAGAGAGAGAGAGAGAGAGAGAGAGAGAGCGCAGUAGCUCUGCUUUACUGAGCUGAGAGCUUCUGAAUUCCAAGCAGAAAGUACGAGAAGACACACAGCAAUGCGCGUCUUCCCCUCGGCUGCUUGUGUCGAGCUUAGACAAUGAAAAACUAGAUUCCCCACCUACCCCAAACCCCUCCCGCGACAAGAUUUUUGUUUCCGUUCCUUCUGAACCGUGGAGGAUGUGCAAAAACAAAUCAUUUUUAAACAAAAAACAAACUGGGAUGAGGAUUAACCCAAAUUAACACUGGCUGACACAGAGGGAGCUGAUCAGGACUUUGGGAGCCAACAUCUGCCUGACUGGUGACGUCAGCAGCCCCGUGUAAUCCUCUUGUGCUGAAGGCAGAUGCCUUAUUUGUUUGGCUGGAGAGAGCCAUUAAUCCCUAAUUCUGGAUCAGCAAGCGAGGGGGAAAGACCGGACUGCUCCAAUCGACCCCUCCCCCACCCCACCUCCCACCCCUAAAGCACCUAUUACCCAGGAAGGCUUUCAUCGUUCUCUUUUCUGCGAGACAUGCCGAGCUGUUGUGGAAUACGCUUUCCUUCUCUUGCAGGAGCAUACUAAGGGGAUCUAGGAUGCUCUAAACAGGAGUGGUUGUAAGCCGCAUUCGGUCCCCAAUCCCAUACUCCAUAAACGUUACUGCUGUUGCCGCCGCCGCUGCCACCACUACUGCUGGUGUUACUACUACUACCGCUACAGGGUGGGGAAAACCUCUGGAUACCGAAAACCCGGAGAAGUCAAUUUCCUGAGCCUGGAUGGAGCCGCAGCGGACAAAAUGAAAAUAGCCGCGCAUCCUCCUCCACCCGCCUGAAGCGCAACUCCAGCUCCGCCUGUAGAGGUCAAGUCACUUACACACACCCUCCCUCCAUCCCAGAGCUCUUUCCUCUUGACUGUUGCCGCAGUCAGAGUAGGUGCGCGCCCUGCAAGGCCGCCCUUCUUUGCACCAGCCCUAGACCCCCGAGGUGGCGCCAGGACCUGAGGUUUAUUUAUGCGGGGAAUAGAGAACCUUUACUAUCCUCAACACCUUUUUCUUUCUCCUCAACAUAACCGUAGCCAGGCCAGAUGGGCUAUCCAUAUUCUCUGGGGCAUUGGCAGGUGCGAUUAAGUUAUUUUUUUCCGCAUUACAAAGAAAGAUGACCCAGCCCGCUCGUUUAUUUUCACAUCUCUCGAAAGUCUUCAACCAAAAAAAUCUUACUAACCCAGAGGACAUGACUGCAUGCACAUAUAUAUGUUUGGGUUUUUUUUUCCCCUUCAAUCUCUUUCUCCCCCUUCCCAGAUGCCAUAUCUUUUCCGUUGGAGCAGCAAACAAGAUUGUCAGAAGUAUUUUGCAAGAGAAAUGGCAGUCAUCUAAAAAUCGCCAUUCCUCAAAAAUAACUUAGAAUUGAUCUAAUUGGAACAGAUUCAUUUAAUUCUAAGUCGUAGGAUAACACGAUUUUGAAAUUAGAGUAGCUAUAGAAGGCUAAUUGAAUCCCACUGAAGUAAUCAUCUGAAACUAGACUUAGACCAGUAAAUUUACUCUCCUAGAUUUAAUAUUUGUGUAUUACAUGCAUAGAGACAUACAUCCGUAAACAAAUACUUAUACAUAUAUACAGUCUACAUUUCCCCUCAAUAGACUAAUUAACAAUGAAACUAACAGAUGUGGUAACUAACAGAGGCGAGCUCUGACAAGAGCAGCUUCCCUGAUUUACACUCUCUCGGGAGCUGUGGGGAAUCCAGAACGAGGGUAUCCACUACUUUGAGGGGAGGGAAAGAUGAGGAGAGGCAAACUCAGUGUAUCAUUUCCUAUCCGGACAAAGAUCAGAGACUCUGUCUCUCCGUGUUCACAGCGGACCUUGAUUUAAUGUCAUACAAUUAAGGCACGCGGUGAAUGCCAAGAGCGGAGCCUGAAAGACUGCAAUUUGAAGGACACCAGCACAUCUUAGAGGCAGAGAGGAAAAAUUCACCACGAACGAUGGACUCGCUCGCUUUGUGGGGAAGAUCCACAAUCAAAUCUUGAAACCCAGGUAGAGGUCAUGAGACUUUGACAUCUGUAUACCUGCAAAUCUUUCUUCGAGCUGUUAGAAAGAAGAACUUUCCGUGACAGCUUGAUAGGAAAGCAAUAGAUGCAGGAUAUGAGAAUGUCCAGUCAACUAUUAGCUAUCAGGGAUGAAUUCCCCGCCCCCCCCCCCCAGCAUAGGGAAUGUUUCCCGCUCCAUGAUCCAAGAGUGGGUAAGUGGGGCAAAAUAAACCAAUAAAUAAACUAAUAAGAACCCGUAUAAUAAGUGUAACCCAUAGAAGACACAGUAUUUACUUACCAUAUCCCUCUACUCCUUUAAAAUGGAUUGAUGCAAGGGAAUCAAAGAAAUCGCUCAUAGGGUGAAACUUUUGCUGGUUCGUUUUCUUUGUAGAAUAGACCUUGCCUAACUUAAAAUCAAGAGGACCUUCCCUCUUUUUUGCAGUCAAACGCAAGGCGCCGGACCGCUUAAUUUAAUAGAGUGGGACAAACGGGUGGAAAAUUGUAGGUCAGAAAGCUUAGAAGAACUCGGAAAAUUAAUUUAUUUGGAAGACAGUGAGGUGGAUUGUGAGAAGGUAGUAGUUCCGCACCAGGGCACUGGAGCCAAAGGAAAAUCUAGGGCUGAGAAUGGGAGACUUGAUAGAUGUCUUUGUUCAGUCUAGGCCUGUAAGGAACAAAGGAGAGAAGCAGAGAUGAUCUGCAAAAGGUGACAGCAGUCUCCCCCUCCCUCCCAGCCCUCCCCCAGAGCUGUCCGUGGUCCUGACCACAGCCCCUUUCUCUUUGGCUCGCAAUUAAAAGAACAAUCAGACAGAUCCUUUCUGUGGAGCAGGAGUUUGCCCCAGGACAUAACAAUAAAUUAGAUUAUUCAGGAAAUAAAGAUUUUAAAAAAGAGAGACAAGAAGCUUGCAACCCCCUCCUCCCCCAACACAUUCUAAGCAUCACAUUAGGUUAUCCAAACUGCCUUGAACCCCAUAAUUAUAAAUACUUCCAUGAAAACAAUUUCUUGCCUCAGCAGUUCUCAGCAUUUAUAAUUUUGUCCUUUUCAAAUCUAUCUAUACACCCGUAUACAUAUAUUUAACCUAUAUAUGUAUAUAUGUAUUUGAAGAGGACUUGUAUGUAUAUAUGCACCACAUGCAUAUGCAUAUACAUACGUGCGUGUAUGGAUGCCUGCGAAUUUACACGUGUUGUGUGUAUAUAUGUAUAUAACGUGAAUAUGUGUACUGUGUAUGCAAAUACUGCCCUGUUGCAGAAUUAAUGCCUUCAGUUCGCUUCACUAUAUGUGAAAAUCGCCCCCCCCCCCCCCCCGCAAAAAAAAAAUAGGAAUUGAGGAAAGGGUAAAGAAGACUAUUUCCUUACAUGUAUAUGCAUAUUCUUUUUAUAUAUAAAUAAAUUGUUUAUGGAUUUAUCCCCGAGUUAAAGGUAGAAAAACUAAGACCCCAAGGCCAGACCAAUUGUGUUCAUAAAGUAAGGAAAAUAAUUUAUAUUUUAAAAUGUAAAUCUCCCUAAAAUUGCUCACCCUUUCCAUCUUCCAGUACCGCCCCCCCCCCACGCAGGUUUCAUCUACUUAUGCGCAUAAAGGAUGAUAAUGUUUUAGGGAGGGAGGUAGAAGAGGAUGCGCCAAGAGCCAGUCCCUGCACGCAGGCGCACCACACAUUCACAUGCAGAAGAAAUACUGCAGAAAGGUAUUUCUAGAAACCCCCAUGACAUUCUGAUUGCAAUUUAAUGCAUAUGAAAGGGAGCGGCCUUUUCCAAACAUUGAUUGCCAGCAUCACUGCAGUGCGGUAUGUUUGAAAAUCCGACAUCAUCAUGGCAGGGAUUCUGUGGAUUGCAUCAACACUCUGGAAAGAAUUUAGGAGUGAAAGUGAGGGUACGAGCUCUGUAAUAUAUAGGGACUAAGAAAUGUUUUAUAACUUGCCCAGAAGAUUAAGAUAAAAGCAGGGAUCCAGGGUGAAUGAGGGGAGUGUUUAAAGCUCCUUUUUCGAUCUUUCAGGGAAAUUCAAUACUCCUGAACUUUUAUAUAUAUAUGUGUGUGUGUGUGUGUGUGUGUGUGUAUGUAUACAUACAUAUAUGUAUAUAUACACAUAUAUAAUAUGUAUAUAUACACAAUUUAUAUAUUCAAAACUUAUAUAAUAAAAAAGUUCCUUUUCUCCCCCCCCCCGCCCAAAAAAAGAAAAAAACACGAUCUAACUAAACAAAGAACCGGUAGAGGUAAUAUCUAUUUUUUUUAACGACCUUAAUGACAUAGCAUACAUUUUAAAAGACAUGUAAACCUAUGUAUUGCUAAGAGGCAAAUAAAGUAAUAGUCUACAAUGCCUACCUCAAAGCACUAUGUAAGGAUAGAUGCAGAUUGUGAGUAUCCAUGAACUGGACAGAAAGAGAAUAUCUCUCGCACAUUGCAUAUGCUAGCUACCCUUCGAUAUCUGGGCUCAUCUUUCAAUUACCUUUUCAUUGAUCAAAGGGGUUCUUGCUUUUUUCCCUAACGUAGAUUUUCUUUCAUGGUCGCCUUCAUACUUUUUAAAGUCAGAUUGUUUAGAGUCCCGAUAUCGAUGAUUGUACUUAUUUUUCUAUUUAAUUAUAAAAAAUCACUUUUUUUAGGAAGACCAAGGGUAAGGAAAGGAGAUAACCAGGAAACUAACCAAAGGGAAGACUAUGAUUCUGUGGUGCUUUAGGUUGCAGAGGAGAAUCUUUAAAUCAACUGAAACUAGAGUGGAUAGAUUUGCUUCAAGAUUUGCUCUGCACUGCUGUGCAACCCAUAUCUGGAAUUUGGUUAAAUCAAAUUCAUUGUCACUUUUGAUGGAAGUAAUUUUAAGCCAACUCAUAUUCCUCCAUGGUCCUCUUCCAGGUGGCUUUAACAACCGCUAUAUAUCAAUCACCCAUUGCUUAUUCUCAAACCAAAUAAGAACUCUAAAACGAAGCCUAGGUUGCGCAGUAAUAAUGUUACAUAACAUAGACAGGCUCAAUCUUUCUCAUUUAUCCAUACUUUUAUAACAACUUGAGUAGGGUCUUCAGAAAACUUUAUUAGUUAAAAUAACAAUGAUGACCUCAACCUUGUUUGCUAAAUAGAAAAGUAAAUUAUGGUGUAGGAUUGAGAUAGGUCUAAUUUUUGUUACCUAAAAGGGAAGUAAUUCGAUCAUUUGAUUACAGGAUGAAAUUCUGAAUAGUUAUUGUUCUGAAGUGUUCUAAAGUUUGAAACUAUUUUUUUUUUCUUUCUUUAAAAUAUUUUCGGACUUAAUGUCCAGCGCCGGUUUUUUUUUUCCUUCUCACUAAUGAGAUUCUAUCUUCACCAGUCUUGCAAAAACAAUCCAAGUUUCAUUUUCAAUGCGAGAACUUUGUUGAGGUUUGCCUUGGAACCCCUUCUGCAAUCACCACGCUCGUUUAGUGGCCUGAAAUUAAAGCUUAUCUGAACAAUUUGGGGACAGUUUAAGCCACUGAGCUACUUCACCCUCCAUCCCCAACCCCACCCCACCCCACCCCCAUCGAGGUGAAAUCGUAAUGGCACUACCGGGGAAUUACAAAUAGGGUUUGGUUUUGCUACAAGUCAACAACUGCCAGGGGAGAAGAGGAGACCCGCGCGAUGGGCUUAUGAGGACACCGGAGUCGUCAAUGUCAUAGCGCCCUCUGCUGCCUCACAAAAGCUGGACAUCUCCUAUAAAGGCAAGAGUCCCCGAGGAAUCAGAAUACAAUAAACAUUAAAAUAAGGGAACGAGAAAUUCUUUAAACUUAAAAAAAUCUCACUCUCAUAAGUUAAAAAUCCCAUUGUAUGUUGUUUUUAAAAAGUUAAACGAACGAAUAACCAACCUAAAAUGUAUUUUUGGGGGGGUGGGGGUGAGGGAGGGAAUAUGGCUAUGACGAUUUUUUUUUCAUCCUCUGGUGUGGGGGUGGCGGUGACACGUCGUUGGCCGGUGCAUAGAAUUUUCAGUCUUUUCUGGGGGCUUCAGUCAAGUCCAACAUGUAUCUCCCCUUCCCCCUCCAGUCGUUUCCCGGGGCUCGCACGGGGCCGGGAAUGAGCAGGCCAUCGGGGAACAGGACGCGUUUCAUCGAAUUGCAGAGAGAUAAUUCAGAACCACAACAAUGGAAGAGUGAUUUCUAAAGAUCCUGGCACAAGAAAGUGAUUGACCUUCUUACUUUAUCUGGUGUCUCCAAUGAGCUUUCACUUACAAUAUGAAAGAAAUCACCC